GAAAUCAAAUUCAAUUCUUCAUAUUAGAAUUUAAACGCACAAUCUGCACAGUUUAUCAAAAGGGUGAUUUGAAUUCAACUUUUUCCUCUAUUUAUUCAUUCAUCAAUAUUCCUCUUUCUUUACCUUCUCUAUUCCUCAGAUUCCCAUUAUUCAUUGCACCUUCCAUCGCGUCAAUUUCAAUUCCCGCACCAGAUACCUUCUUCUUCUUCUCCUCAAAAUUCGAUUUGCUUCUUUAAUUCCUCUUUCCGAUCUCUCAACCGCUCUUCGCUUUUCCCACGGAGGCCAUACAGGUUCUACUCUCAUUAAUAGUUGAUUAUUCUUCGUCUGUUCGAGAAGCUUCCGUGUCAUCUCUCCACGACCUUUCUGCACUAAAUCCUAUUAUGGCUCUCCAGUGUUGUGCGACUGUUUCACGCGGUGGACGUCGGAGAUUUGGAAAUAUAUGGCUGGAGUUUUUUAAGUUAUGGCAUUUGGAGUUCGGGCUCUUGAUGAAAGAGAUGCUGAUUUUGUUUUUAUGGGGAAGCUUGCUAAAAUUGCUACGUCUGAGAUGAUGUCUUCUAAGGUCGAUGCAGUAUAAGAGAGGUAAAAAUGGUUAAUGAAGGUUUCACUCAUCUUCAUCUUCAAAGGUUGGGGCUUUUUGAAUCUCUUACUUGGGGAAUGAAGGCUCUGCUGACACAUAACUUUGCAAUUCCUAUUUGAUGGAAAUGAAGGCCCUGUUGAUAUCUGUGUGUUUCAACUUGGAGGAAUUGUCUGUUAAAUUUUUUAAAACCAAUUGUACUUCUGUUGGAAUAUGCUUUAUCCCUACAAUCAAUUAUGAGGGAGCAUAAUGGUGGUUUUGUUUAUAUAUAUGAUUUGAAAUCUUUGCCAUUUAUUGAAGGAGUUGUAUAAAAUUAUAACUCAAUGAAAAAAUGUUCUGUGAUUUAGUUAUGUAAUUUUUUUUGGAUGCAGGAAGAAAUUAUGGACAAGACAGAUGAAUAUGUUGACGCUCACAAAAGAUAUUGUUGUUUGUGACUUCAAAUGAUUUAGAGAGAUUCCCCUUACUAUUUCAAGAAGCUGCAAAGUUUUUUAAGAAUGGGCUUGAUACUAAAGUUGAGAAGUCAAGAAAGCAAAUGAGGGAUAGAAAUAACAUGGCCAAAAAGAUUCAGGGAGUAAAGAAGACUAAUGCCGGUGAUGAUGUCAAGGUUGGAAAGAAGAAAUAAGUUUUUAAACAUUUUGUUAUGAUAUUAAAGUUAAUUUACUAUUGAUAAUAGUUUUCCCAAAUUACCCAUGAUGUAUUUUUUUACUUUGAUAAUAGAUUUAUUGUCCAUGGCAUUUUGUAACUGUAUGUUGAACAACAACAUUAACUUCUC